rnacentral:rRNA from 1 species
GACGAACGCUGGCGGCGUGCUUAACACAUGCAAGUCGAACGGUGAAGCGAGUGCUUGCACUCGUGGAUCAGUGGCGAACGGGUGAGUAACACGUGAGUAACCUGCCCAUCACUCUGGGAUAAGCACUGGAAACGGUGUCUAAUACUGGAUACGACCAACCCUUGCAUGGGGUGUUGGUGGAAAGAUUUAUCGGUGACGGAUGGACUCGCGGCCUAUCAGCUUGUUGGCGGGGUAAUGGCCCACCAAGGCGACGACGGGUAGCCGGCCUGAGAGGGUGACCGGCCAAACUGGGACUGCGACACGGCCCAGACGCCGACGGAAGGCAGCAGUGGGAAAUUUUGCCCAAGAGGCGAAAGCCUGGUGCAGCGACGCCGCGUGGGGGAUGACGGCCUUCGGGUUGUAAACCUCUUUCAGCAGGGAAGAAGCGAAAGUGACGGUACCUGCAGAAGAAGCACCGGCUAACUACGUG